GCCAGGCAUGGUGGCGCACACCUGUAGUCCCAGCUACUCGGGAGGCUGAGACUAGAGGAUCGCUUGAGUCCAGGAGUUCUGGGCUGUAGUGUGCUAUGCCGAUCAGGUGUCCACAUUAAGUUCUGCAUCAAUCUGGUGACCUCCCGGGAGCCAGGAACUACCAGGUUGCCUAAGGAGGGGUGAACCGGGCCAGGUCGGAAAUGGAGCAGGUCAAAACUCCCAUGCUGAUCAGUAGUCUCUCUGCUGUUGGUCCCACCUGUCCUUUUUCCUGUCUAGCUAUUGGAUCUUCAGCUCCUU
rfam:Mesocricetus auratus contig061571, whole genome shotgun sequence.